UCUGGAGAUAGAGGCGGCCUUCGGGACAGAGGAGACAGGUGGUGCAUGGUUGUCGUCAGCUCGUGUCGUGAGAUGUUGGGUUAAGUCCCGCAACAAGCGCAACCCUUGAUCUUAGUUGCCAGCACUUCGGGUGGGCACUCUAGGAUGACUGCCGGUGACAGACCGGAGGAAGGUGGGGAUGACGUCAAAUCAUCAUGCCCCUUAUGACCUGGGCUACACACGUACUACAAUGGUCGGUACAACGGGAAGCGAAGCCGCGAGGUGGAGCCAAUCCUUAUAAGCCGAUCUCAGUUCGGAUUGCAGGCUGCAACUCGCCUGCAUGAAGUCGGAAUUGCUAGUAAUCGCGGAUCAGCAUGCCGCGGUGAAUACGUUCCCGGGUCUUGUACACAACGCCCGU
rnacentral:rRNA from 1 species